rnacentral:rRNA from 1 species
AUGGCUCAGGAUGAACGCUGGCGGCGUGCUUAACACGUGCAAGUCGAACGGAGAUAAAAAGCGGCUUGCUGCUCUCUAUCGUUAGUGGCGGACGGGUGAGUAACGCGUGGAUAACCUACCUUACACGGGGGAAUAACAGCGAGAAAUCGUUGCUAAUACCCCAUACGUGUAGAUAUCGCAUGAUAUCGACACAAAAACUCCGGUGGUGUAAGAUGGAUCCGCGUCUGAUUAGCUAGUUGGUGAGAUAACAGCUCACCAAGGCAACGAUCAGUAGCCGGCUUGAGAGAGUGACCGGCCACACUGGGACUGAGACACGGCCCAGACUCCUACGGGAGGCAGCAGUGGGGAAUAUUGCACAAUGGGGGAAACCCUGAAUGCAGCGACGCCGCGUGAAGGAAGAAGGUUUUCGGAUCGUAAACUUCUAUCAGCAGGGACGAAGAAAGUGACUGUACCUGACUAAGAAGCCCCGGCUAACUACGUGCCAGCCGCAGC